GAUCCAAACCAGCUGAUCCAUCAAGCAUCUUCUACAGCGCAAUGUACACAAAAUCGUUUUCUGAUAAAUAAAAAUAACACAAAUACAAUAAUUAAAAUAUGUACACUAAUUAGAGAAACGAACGAUUCAUAAUCGGAAUAACACAGCCCCAACAUGUGCGUGUGUGUGAAAAGCAACAAAUGUUCUUUUUUUCAUAUGUGUGUGUGUGUGUGCUGAGUUUUGACAAACCUUUGCCGGCAAACAGCAGGCUGUUUUGUUUUCAUCGCGAUGGAUGCGUCGAACGCACGUGAAAAUUAUAACGAACUGAACUGAGACAUUAUUCGAAAACAGCAUGGCCUCAUCGCGUGACAAAAGAUCCGGCAGUAUCUACAAGUUUCGUGAUGCACUGAUAAAGAAGAUAGAGAAGGUGUUUGAAGAAGAAGAAAGAUUGUUGCGGUUGCAGCGUGAAAAGCAAGCAAACAAUGAACCAUCUGAAGAAGCAGAACCAAGCGCACUAAUGUUGACCUGCGACGAUGAAGAUCCAUUCGCUGACCCCAGCAACGCAACGACCGCAGACGUUGUGAAGGUGCUGCGAACCUUGUCGGUCCAGAUCGAGCAGCUUUCUUGUAAGCAGGAUACAUUCCAACACCAGCUAGACGAAACAAAGAGUCGUGUGACGAAGCUGGAUAGAAGGCUGAACGAAGUGCUUUACAUGGCUGAAGCGGUGAAGGACGAGUUGAUGUCUGACGAAUUUCAGAAGGCGAGGGAGCAGAUCGUUACACCCGUUCCCGGGUUUGAGUUUCAAGCGGUAAGCAACGAGACUGAGCUAAAAGUUCUAGACCACAGACUGGCUACGGACGAGGCGUACAGCAGGAACCUCACCAAAUGGCUGAACGCGAAGAUACUACACCCGGAUCCAAACCAUCGCUUACAUCAAGCAAUGGAGGCAGUUUUCAAGCGCGAGUUUCUACCGUUGUGUAGUUGGAAGGGGCGAGCCAAACCGGGGCAAUUCAGAAUAUCCAUGAGUGCCCAAAAGUUCAUAAUGGAAUUGUUUCGGGUGGUUGGAAGUAAUCGGUUCAUUACUAUUUCAGAUGAAUUUGUGGCCAAAUUCUUUAUUAAGAAACUACCGUUCGCCAAAGCGCGGCUCAACUUGAAAGGUUAUAGAAGCAGUGUAUGCAAUAGGAAAUCCUAACUAGGCUCAAAUCCGGACAAAGUAAACCCAAAUCCGGACGUAAAGUAGUUUGGACCGGAACAUAGAUGGAUGCAAGCACCUUUCUUAUGGUUUAGACUUUUUACACAACUUAUAGAGUACUAAGAAUUUGUUAAAUAUUCUUUAGGAGAACGUGUCGGAUAUAGCGCGUUCAAGGUAUACAUACACCACGACUACUCAUGCACUAUGCAGAACAAGUUAGGUCGUCUAAGGUUUAUGAUAGCAUAUCGUAUCGAAUUAAUACAUAAGAAGCAAAAUACUAAUUGAGCUUAAACUCCUAUGCUAAUUCCUACCGGAACCAGUUCGCGUUUCGUUCCGGAUCCGGAACAGCUACAGGGGCAGUUUGAAAAAUGAAUAAAACUGGGAACUGAUUCAGCA